rnacentral:rRNA from 1 species
UGAGGUGCUUGCACCUUAUCUUAGCGGCGGACGGGUGAGUAAUGCUUAGGAAUCUGCCUAUUAGUGGGGGACAACAUUUCGAAAGGAAUGCUAAUACCGCAUACGCCCUACGGGGGAAAGCAGGGGAUCUUCGGACCUUGCGCUAAUAGAUGAGCCUAAGUCGGAUUAGCUAGUUGGUGGGGUAAAGGCCUACCAAGGCGACGAUCUGUAGCGGGUCUGAGAGGAUGAUCCGCCACACUGGGACUGAGACACGGCCCAGACUCCUACGGGAGGCAGCAGUGGGGAAUAUUGGACAAUGGGGGGAACCCUGAUCCAGCCAUGCCGCGUGUGUGAAGAAGGCCUUUUGGUUGUAAAGCACUUUAAGCGAGGAGGAGGAGCUCUAGAUUAAUACUCUAGAUGCUUGGACGUUACUCGCAGAAUAAGCACCGGCUAACUCUGUGCCAGCAGCCGCGGUAAUACAGAGGGUGCAAGCGUUAAUCGGAUUUACUGGGCGUAAAGCGUGCGUAGGUGGUCUUUUAAGUCGGAUGUGAAAUCCCUGAGCUUAACUUAGGAAUUGCAUUCGAUACUGGGAGACUAGAGUAUGGGAGAGGAUGGUAGAAUUCCAGGUGUAGCGGUGA